CCCCUCUCAGGUUCAUACCUGGAGAGUUUCCAGUACUCUACCAGUCCCGGCUACGAGAGGGAGAGUCGAGCAGAGGCCUACCCAUUCCAUUCCCAGCUUGGGCAGUGACUAGCGAGUGGAAGGCAAACUGCUACAAGC
rfam:Ornithorhynchus anatinus chromosome X5, whole genome shotgun sequence.